rnacentral:rRNA from 1 species
CUCCGAAAGGGUAUCGGAGGCGCCCAAAGGUUCCCUCAGAAUGGACGGAAACCAUUCGAAGAGUGCAAAGGCAGAAGGGAGCUUGACUGCGACACCGACGGGUGGAGCAGGUACGAAAGUAGGGCUUAGUGAUCCGGUGGUAUUAAGUGGGAAUGCCAUCGCUCAACGGAUAAAAGCUACCCUGGGGAUAACAGGCUUAUCACUCCCAAGAGUUCACAUCGACGGAGUGGUUUGGCACCUCGAUGUCGGCUCAUCGCAUCCUGGGGCUGUAGUAGGUCCCAAGGGUUGGGCUGUUCGCCCAUUAAAGCGGUACGCGAGCUGGGUUCAGAACGUCGUGAGACAGUUCGGUCCCUAUCCGGCGUGGGCGUAGGAUAUCUGAGAGGAGCUGUCCUUAGUACGAGAGGACCGGGAUGGACGGGCCGCUGGUGCAUCGGUUAGACUGCCAAGUCUACGGCCGAGUAGCCAAGCCCGGAAGGGAUAAACGCUGAAGGCAUCUAAGCGUGAAGCCCCCCUUAAGAUGAGAUAUCCCAUUCGAAAGAAGUAAACCCCCUUGAAGACGACGAGGUAGAUAGGGCAGAGGUGGAAGUG